UACGUAGGGGGCAAGCGUUGUCCGGAUUUAUUGGGCGUAAAGAGCUCGUAGGCGGUUCCGUAAGUCGUGUAGUCAAAUCUCUGGGCUCAACCCAGAAUCGCUUCCGAUACUGCGGUGACUGGAGUCCGGUAGGGGAGUGUGGAAUUCCUGGUGUAGCGGUGAAAUGCGCAGAUAUCAGGAGGAACACCAACAGCGAAGGCAGCACGCUGGGCCGGUACUGACGCUGAGACGCGAAAGCGUGGGGAGCGAACAGG
rnacentral:rRNA from 1 species